rnacentral:rRNA from 1 species
GUUGACCUCGAAUCAGGUAGGACUACCCGCUGAACUUAAGCAUAUCAAUAAGCGGAGGAAAAGAAACCAACAGGGAUUGCCCCAGUAACGGCGAGUGAAGCGGCAACAGCUCAAAUUUGAAAUCUGGCUCUCAGGGCCCGAGUUGUAAUUUGUAGAGGAUGCUUUUGGCGAGGUGCCUUCCGAGUUCCCUGGAACGGGACGCCACAGAGGGUGAGAGCCCCGUAUGGUCGGACACCGAGCCUCUGUAAAGCUCCUUCGACGAGUCGAGUAGUUUGGGAAUGCUGCUCAAAAUGGGAGGUAUAUGUCUUCUAAAGCUAAAUAUUGGCCAGAGACCGAUAGCGCACAAGUAGAGUGAUCGAAAGAUGAAAAGCACUUUGAAAAGAGGGUUAAAAAGUACGUGAAAUUGUUGAAAGGGAAGCGCCUAUGACCAGACUUGGGCCCGGUGAAUCACCCAGCGUUCUCGCUGGUGCACUUUGCCGGGCACAGGCCAGCAUCAGUUCAGCGCGGGGGAGAAAGGCUUCGGGAAUGUGGCUCCCUCGGGAGUGUUAUAGCCCGCUGCGUAAUGCCCUGCGCCGGACUGAGGUACGCGCAUUGCAAGGAUGCUGGCGUAAUGGUCAUCAGCGACCCGUCUUGAAACACGGACCAAGGAGUCGUCUUCGUAUGCGAGUGUUCGGGUGUCAAACCCCUACGCGUAAUGAAAGUGAACGUAGGUGAGAGCUUCGGCGCAUCACCGACCGAUCCUGAUGUUCUCGGAUGGAUUUGAGUAAGAGCAUACGGGGCCGGACCCGAAAGAAGGUGAACUAUGCCUGUAUAGGGUGAAGCCAGAGGAAACUCUGGUGGAGGCUCGCAGCGGUUCUGACGUGCGAAUCGAUCGUCAAAUAUGGGCAUGGGGGCGAAAGACUAAUCGAA